rnacentral:rRNA from 1 species
GCGAGUCAUUGUAGCAUACAAGGCGGACGGCUCAGUAACACGUAGUCAACCUCACUCGUGGACGUGGAUAACCUCGGGAAACUGAGAAUAAACCACGAUAGAUCAUAGUGCCUGGAAUGGCUUAUGGUCCAAACAGUUUACUGCCAUGGGAUGGGACUGCGGCCUAUCAGCUUGUUGGUGAGGUAAUGGCCCACCAAGGCGAUUACAGGUACGGGCUCUGAGAGGAGAAGCCCGGAGAUGGGUACUGAGACACGGACCCAGGCCCUAUGGGGCGCAGCAGGCGAGAAACCUUAGCAAUGUGCGAAAGCACGACUGGGUCAGUCCGAGUGAUUCCUGAUAAAGGAGUCUUUUGCUUGUCCUAAAAGCACAGGUGAAUAAGGGGUGGGCAAGUCUGGUGUCAGCCGCCGCGGUAAUACCAGCACCUCGAGUGGUCAGGACGUUUAUUGGGCCUAAAGCAUCCGUAGCCGGCUCUGCAAGUCUUCGGUUAAAUCCACCUGCUCAACAAAUGGGCUGCUGGAGAUACUACAGAGCUAGGGAGUGGGAGAGGCAGACGGUAUUCAGUGGGUAGGGGUAAAAUCCUCUGAUCCAUUGAGGACCACCAGUGGCGAAGGCGGUCUGCCAGAACACGUUCGACGGUGAGGGAUGAAAGCUGGGGGAGCAAACCGGAUUAGAUACCCGGGUAGUCCCAGCUGUA